rnacentral:rRNA from 1 species
UUCGGACCUCCAAUCAAGCAAGAGGACCCGCUGAAUUUAAGCAUAUAACUAAGCGGAG